rnacentral:snRNA from 1 species
GGGUGUAAGGGCAAUCCGGCUGCAACAUCUGUCACUCCGCUGAUCACUGGGGUUGACUAGGCUGACCCGGCUGGCUAGGAAGGUGCCCGCUUUCUCUCUCACCACUCCAUGUGCAUCCCUCUCAUGUGUAUCCCUCCCGGAUCCAUGUGCUCAGUCGAAGAAAACAACCACCCUCAAAAGAGGAGGACCAUUUCCUCUAUCAAGGGUGUGAUUAGCAAGAGCAGCUGUGAUUAGCAAGAGCAUUUCAACAUUUAGUUGAACCAGUAGUUGUGUUCCCCUGCAAGAACUUCCAAAAAACAAAACAAAAUUUUAAAAUCUUGCCAACUUGAAAUGCAUAAUUAACAUUUUAGUUU